rnacentral:snRNA from 1 species
AGAUGGGAGGGCGAUCUGGCUGCAACACCUGUCAUCUUAUUGGUUGCCAGGCCGGUGUCCCCCNCUUCCUCCCUGACUGCUCUGGGUGUCCUGUCUGAAGCAGCAUGCUGGGCUGAAGGAAGCAACUUUGGGUGGUAGAGGAGGCAUCCUCUUUGUUCAAGGCUCUAGAGAGCUGUGCCCCUGCUGGAACCUCCAGCCUCACAAAACAGCAGCAGCAAGCACCACUUUUGUAAAACUGUCCCUCUGAGGAAGGUGUACUCCGGAA